CUCGUCGCACGCGGUCGGCGUCAGGAACUGGGCGCCGGGGCUGUUUAGAAAACCGGAAGUGCCUGUGGCAAACUUGCCAGUCCUAGCCCAGCGUGAGUCAGAACCGGUCGCUGGUUAAGGGUCCUCGGGCCGGUGCGUCUUCCUUCAAACGUUCUUAUGACUAACGUGGUACGUCACAUCCAACCUUGAGAGUCAGACCUCUGUCGGGACUACCACUGGACCUUGGGGCAAGUUACUUUACGUUUCUCAGCAUUAAAUCAUUUAGAUAAAUAUUUUUUGAGGCAGUGUGGGCACGCAGUAUGAAACGAGGGAAAGUGAAAACUUGAGACAAGAAUCAACGAAACAAAGUUGGUUCUUUUUGUAUUUCUGUUGUCUGCGGACCCAGUCAGCAAAAGUUAAUCGUGCUGUACGUGUAUGUAUUACUAUACGUUUUAACCAUUUCACAUAUCUUAUAGAAUUUUUGCCCAUGAUUGAGGUAGCAUUCACGGAUAAACAUGUUCUGAUCUACAAGUGCCAGCUGGGUUGAGACAGCGCCGAAUGAAACAAGACGACAGCUUCCUUAGUUUAAAUCCAGGGAGGAGAGACACAAGCGCCUGUACAGGUCGGGUGAUGGUGACGGAAGCACAGUCCUUGAAGUGGGGAAGCAAGCCAGGCCUUACCAAGGGUAAGACCAUUCCUGGCAGAGGGAACAGCAAUUGCAAAAGGCCUCAAGGGCCUGUGCUGCAGUAAUAGUUGAUCACUUACUCUGAGGAAAGCCAGCUGUCACAUCAUGAGGACACUUAAGCAGCCUCAUGGAGUCUCAUGUGGCAAGGAAGUGAGGCCUGCCAGCAGCCACGUGAGUAAGCAACCUUCCCAUGACUGGUCUCGGCCAACAGUUUGACUGCAACCUUUUGAGAUGUUGAGCUACAACCACCCAGCUAAGCUACUUUGAAUCCUUGGCCCACAGAAACUGAGAUACUGUGCAACCUCUGGAAAGAUAUGUGAACUCUCUGAGCCUCAAGAAUCCCCUCUCUAAAAUGGAGAUAGUGUUCACCUUAACGGAUUGUUGUGCCAUGUGAAGUGCAGAGAACCUAGGAACUAGAUUCAACAGACACUAUUACAAUUUAAAGUACUUCUUUUCUUGGAAAAUAAAUAUUAAACCUGCACACUUGAGUUGAAAUCUUGUACAAAUUCCUAUCUUUGUUCUCCUCCCCCCAUUCAUCUUUGUGACCUUUUCUUUAGGAAGAAGAAUGCAAAUAUUUGUAGACUUAAAACUAGUUACCGUAGCAACUAAAAAAAAAAAA